GAAUAUUAAUCCCCCCGGACAGCAUGAAACCAACACAGAGGGGGACAAAGCCGCACUAGACCCUGAAACAACCAGAGAUGGGAUCCGCAGCCUCUGCGCAAAAGACUAUCUACCUGGAGGUGGACGGAAAGGUGCAGAAGAUCGUCUUCAGCCAACAGAGCAGCAGCAGCGACAUCAAGCAGAUUCUGUGCACGUCGGCCGGACUCCCCUGGCAGACGCCCAUUAUCCUCGUGGACUCAAGGGGCACUUUGAUCGCCACUGACCCCACAAUUCCGGGCAACAGCAAGUAUUCACCCUAUCGGAUCAUCUGUGAGGACUUGUCGCCACGACCAGAAAAAGAAGACGUUUUCCAUAAGCUUAUGACACAAGUUGCAGAGGAAUUCACAAGAGCGUUCAGGAUUAGCGAUUUGAAGAGAGAAGUCAAUGAGCGGAUCACCGCCUUAGAGCGUAGGGUGGAAGCUGAAGGCCAGAAAGCUACUGACAUUGAGAAGUGUAAGCUUGAACUGAGGAACUUGAGGGAUGAAAUAGAGGAAAGAAGUGGCAGCAGACUGAGUUGUUCCUGUAAAUAUAACCGAUCUGGCGACAUAAUCCGGAUAAACCCUCGCAAGGAUGUCCACAGUUACCCCAAGUACACCUUGUCACCAGAGACUAUCGAGACCCUGAAGAAGCCGACCUUCGAUGUCUGGCACUGGGAAUAUAAUGAGAUGCUGAGCUGUCUGGAGUUCAUGUACCAUGACCUUGGAAUUGUUCAGGAAUUUAACAUGAACCCCAUCACCCUGAAGUGCUGGUUGUUGUGCAUCCAGGAGAAUUACAGAACCAACCCGUUCCAUAACUUCCGCCAUUGCUUCUGUGUGACGCAGAUGAUGUACGGGAUGAUUCACCUCUGCGAGCUCCAGGGCCGGUUGUCGAUUUUGGAGUUGGGUAUUCUGAUGACGGCCGCCGUGUGCCAUGAUCUCGACCACCCAGGAUAUAACAACACGUACCAGAUCAAUGCGCACACAGAGCUGGCGAUUCGUUACAAUGACAUCUCUCCUCUGGAGAACCACCACUGCGCAGUCGCCUUCCAGAUCCUGGCGCAACCGGAAAGCAACAUCUUCUCGAAUAUUUCCCUCGAGCUUUUCAAACAGAUCCGGCAGUCCAUCAUUCGCCUGAUUCUGGCGACAGACAUGGCUCGUCACGCCGACAUAUUGGAGUCUUUUAAACAGGUCAUUUCUACCUUCGACUUCAAUAGUGAAGAACAUGUGAAAACACUGCAGAUGAUGAUGAUAAAAUGCUGCGAUAUCUCCAACGAAGUGCGUCCCACAGAGGUGGCGGAGCCCUGGGUGGACUGUCUGCUCGAGGAAUACUUCAUGCAGAGUGACCGGGAAAAGUUGGAGGGUCUCCCAGUAACCCCAUUUAUGGAUCGUGAUAAAGUCACAAAACCCAAAGCGCAGAUCGGAUUCAUUAAAUUUGUCCUGAUUCCGAUGUUCGAGACCGUCAUGAAGAAACAGUGCCACACCCCUGCAGAGGUUGUGUCAGGUACUGCAGCUAGGCAAGUGAAUGGGACUGAGCUGCAGCCCCACAUAUAACCUGUAGACAGCUCUCUUCCCACAGAUAGAGGAGGUGAUGGUGCGUCCCCUGCAGGAGGCGAGAGAUCAUUACGAGGAGCUCAUUCAACUGGAGGAGGCGAUGGCAGAGGUCCAGCAGAAAAAGGCCGAGAUCCUGUCGGGCGGAGGCAAAG